UACGGAGGGUGCAAGCGUUAUCCGGAUUUACUGGGUUUAAAGGGUGCGUAGGUGGGUUGGUAAGUCAGUGGUGAAAUACUUUCGCUUAACGAAGGAACUGCCAUUGAUACUAUCAAUCUUGAAUGUAGUGGAGGUAGGCGGAAUGCGUCAUGUAGCGGUGAAAUGCUUAGAUAUGACGCAGAACACCAAUUGCGAGGGCAGCUUGCUACACUACUAUUGACACUGAGGCACGAAAGCGUGGGGAUCAAACAGG
rnacentral:rRNA from 1 species